AUGGCGGAUGAUGAUGGACCUUGGUAUGCCAGAUUAAUCGAUGAGUGGGAUAAGGAGCAUCGUGCUCGUGCCAUUGAGAAUGGAAAUCAUGUAGUUGCUAUGCGCAUGAGGGGUCAUUCCGUUGAUGGCUUUACUUACGACCCGCGGUACGAGCCUUAUAUUCGGAGAUUGGGUCUUCUCCCAUUCGUGUUGCAGUUUAAGCGACGCGCUCCGCCGGUGAACCACGCGGCGUUGACCGCACUUGUGGAUCGUUGGAGGCCGGAGACUCACUCGUUCCACCUUCCAUGUGGGGAGCUGACGAUGACCCUAGAGGACAUGGCUAUGAUAAGCGGCAUUCCUAUCGACGGACAAGCUGUUACCGGUCGGGUCAGCAUCGUUAAUUGGCGAGAACGAACAGACAUUUUAAUUGGUAUUCAGCCCGACGACCCUCAAGAAGGCAAGGCCGAUACCGCGAGAGUGAUGCAUUCUUGGCUAAAACUAGUCAGAGGAGACACCAAUCCGUGCCCUCAGGGUGCCAAUGACGUGGUUGUGCAACAGUACGCGCGGGCCUAUCUUUGGUAUGUACUAACCAAGGUAGUCUUCUCAGAUGCAACCGGGAACUCAGCCCUCUGGAUGUUCUUGGAGCUACUCAAUAACUGGGAUACCCAGUAUAGCUGGGGUUCGGCCGCACUAGCAUAUUUGUAUCAUCAGCUUGACUUGGCGUGUCGGAGGAAGGGAGAUACAUCCUCAUUGUCUGGGUUUGUUUGGAGCCUAUCCGUGUGGAUGUGGGAGCGGAUCCUGGUUGGACGGCCCGAUUUCAAGAACCCCCUCAUGGCAAACCCACGGGCUAAUCAUGACGGGUUGCAUGAUGAUGAUCCAUAUCGGCGCCCUACGCUUACUAUUGGGAACAAGUGA
rnacentral:rRNA from 1 species